rnacentral:rRNA from 1 species
ACGCGAGCGGCGGAUGGGUGAGUAACACGUGGGGAACCUGCCCCAUAGUCUAGGAUACCACUUGGAAACAGGUGCUAAUACCGGAUAAUAAAGCAGAUCGCAUGAUCAGCUUAUAAAAGGCGGCGUAAGCUGUCGCUAUGGGAUGGCCCCGCGGUGCAUUAGCUAGUUGGUAAGGUAACGGCUUACCAAGGCAAUGAUGCAUAGCCGAGUUGAGAGACUGAACGGCCACAUUGGGACUGAGACACGGCCCAAACUCCUACGGGAGGCAGCAGUAGGGAAUCUUCCACAAUGGACGCAAGUCUGAUGGAGCAACGCCGCGUGAGUGAAGAAGGUUUUCGGAUCGUAAAGCUCUGUUGUUGGUGAAGAAGGAUAGAGGUAGUAACUGGCCUUUAUUUGACGGUAAUCAACCAGAAAGUCACGGCUAACUACGUGCCAGCAGCCGCGGUAAUACGUAGGUGGCAAGCGUUGUCCGGAUUUAUUGGGCGUAAAGCGAGCGCAGGCGGAAGAAUAAGUCUGAUGUGAAAGCCCUCGGCUUAACCGAGGAAUUGCAUCGGAAACUGUUUUUCUUGAGUGCAGAAGAGGAGAGUGGAACUCCAUGUGUAGCGGUGGAAUGCGUAGAUAUAUGGAAGAACACCAGUGGCGAAGGCGGCUCUCUGGUCUGCAACUGACGCUGAGGCUCGAAAGCAUGGGUAGCGAACAGGAUUAGAUACCCUGGUAGUCCAUGCCGUAAACGAUGAGUGCUAAGUGUUGGGAGGUUUCCGCCUCUCAGUGCUGCAGCUAACGCAUUAAGCACUCCGCCUGGGGAGUACGACCGCAAGGUUGAAACUCAAAGGAAUUGACGGGGGCCCGCACAAGCGGUGGAGCAUGUGGUUUAAUUCGAAGCAACGCGAAGAACCUUACCAGGUCUUGACAUCUAGUGCCAUCCUAAGAGAUUAGGAGUUCCCUUCGGGGACGCUAAGACAGGUGGUGCAUGGCUGUCGUCAGCUCGUGUCGUGAGAUGUUGGGUUAAGUCCCGCAACGAGCGCAACCCUUAUUAUUAGUUGCCAGCAUUAAGUUGGGCACUCUAAUGAGACUGCCGGUGACAAACCGGAGGAAGGUGGGGAUGACGUCAAGUCAUCAUGCCCCUUAUGACCUGGGCUACACACGUGCUACAAUGGGCAGUACAACGAGAAGCGAGCCUGCGAAGGCAAGCGAAUCUCUGAAAGCUGUUCUCAGUUCGGACUGCAGUCUGCAACUCGACUGCACGAAGCUGGAAUCGCUAGUAAUCGCGGAUCAGAACGCCGCGGUGAAUACGUUCCCGGGCCUUGUACACACCGCCCGUCACACCAUGGAAGUCUGCAAUGCCCAAAGCCGGUGGCCUAACCUUCGGGAAGGAGCCGUCUAAGGCAGGGCAGAUGACUGGGGUGAAGUCGUAACAAGGUAGCCGUAGGAGAACCUGCGGCUGGAUCACCUCCUUU